UGAGGUCAUGAGUGUACCAUGAGGUACCU
rnacentral:piRNA from 1 species